GGGGGUAGGCCGGAUCCUGGGCUGUGUCCCGGCGCCCUGUGCUCCGGAGCCUGCACUGCUGGUUUCGUGCUCUGGCUGCGCAGUCCCCU
rnacentral:pre_miRNA from 1 species